CCCCUGAUGGCUCAGAUGGUAAAGCAUCUGCCUGCAAUGUGGGAAACCCAGGUUCAAUCCCUGGGUCGGAAGA
rfam:TPA: Bos taurus chromosome 11, whole genome shotgun sequence.